rnacentral:rRNA from 1 species
GACGAACGCUGGCGACGUGCCUAAUACAUGCAAGUAGAACGCAGUUGCGAACGGGUGAGUAACGCGUAGGUAACUGCCUCAUAUCGGGGGAUAACUAUUGGAAACGAUAGCUAAUACCUCAUACUGUGAGAUGGACCUGCGUUGUAUUAGCUAGUUGGUGAGGUAAAGGCACAACAAGGCGACGAUACAUAGCCGAACUGGGAGGGUGAGCGAGCACACUGACACUGAGACUCGGCCCAGACCCCAACUGGAAGCAGCAGUAGGGAUGCGUCGGCAAGGGAAGGAAGUCUGACCGUGCAACGCCGCGGGAGUGAGGAAGGUGUACGGAUUGUAAAGCUUUGUUGUUUGUGAUGCGGUAACUAACCAGAAAGGGACGGCUAACUACGUGCCAGCAGCCGCGGUAAUUC